AGGCUGCUGCAAAAACAAUCUUACCUGCCUUUUUUCUGUUUUGUGUGUUCAGUUUACUCCAGCUAGUUUCCUCCUGGCUGCUUUCGGACAUGAGGCUUAUUAUCUGCCUCCACACCUGAGGAGAGGGAAGCGGCCAAAGUAACACCAGUCUUUAAAAAGGGAUCCAGGGGGAAAUCCCAGAAAUUACAGAACCCCCCCCCCAUGGUAUGCAACAUGGGUCAACACUACAAUCAAUUAAAUCAUCAGUUUCCUCCAGGCCUUCACCAAUCUCUAUUGAAGAAGUCAACUGCCACUGCUGCUGCUGUCAUGGAGGAAAGAUGUCAUUCUUUGUGGACCCCAGUAAGGCCCUCUAGGUGGCUGCCCUCAUGUGUAGAGAUGUAUUUCACAAUCUGGUGCUGAAUCUGUUUUUCCCUGCUCAGAUUAUGGGGAUAUUCCUAGUGAAGUUGCAUUUGAUAUGUUCCACCCAUUGAAAAUAGAUACUGCUAAAUCAUGGCCAUUAAGAUUUUUCCACAUAUAGAAAAUAUCACAGCAAUGUGACCAUCUCUUCAACUGGUUAAAUCAUCUGCUACUUAAUGUUCUGAACGUUCACAACAUUUAAAGACAGAUGUUUUCCUUAAGUUGGGUCUCUUUGAAGACCUGAGGACAUUUGGGACAUUGAUUGACAUCAUCUGUAAACUAUUUUCAGAACACCUUCCAACACAAUGAGAGAGACUGAAGAACUGCAGCCAGUAGCGACCCGUGUUGUGGAGCAGAACCACAGAACUGCCCUCCUAGCACUGGCAUUGCUGUAGCAUACCUGGAUGGGGCAUGGUAGCAGCAAAUUCAGGGCUCUGCAGGCAUGCCGGUAUGAGCAGAGAUGUGAGGGCCCAGGAAAAAGAAAAAUCGUGGAAAAUGUUUCUUGGAGAAGAAUGGAAAAAUUCAGGAGAAAAUGGAGAAAAAACUUUCCCCCAUAUUUUUUCUGUCCCCCCCGCAGGCCUUCCCAUCUCUGGUGGGAGCACUCAAUUGGUUCCACCAGCGUGCCUGCAACACCAACCUAAAUAAAUGAUGCUUGUAUUAGGAGAAUACCUCUGUUGCCUCACCAAAUAGGCUGUUACUGACUUUCACAUUUUUAGCACGAUCUAAGGCACAAUGUUUUGCCAAAGGAACCAAAGAGAAAUUGUCUGAUGAGUUGUAAACAAUGUUUUGAACAAUGCCACUGUUACUGCCUUGGACAACCUUUUGCAUAGUGUGGGUUGCUUAAUGUUCAUGUUUUGUAGUAAGAAUGACCAUCCUUUGACUCUUUUACUACAUAUUUGAUAGUUGUUUUGGCAUUGUUGCUUGGUUUUAAUAAGAGAAGAUAUAUUCAAUUUUGGUCAUGGGAAUUCUCCCAUACAGAUUAAUAGUGCUAGUACGAAUUCAUCAUAAGGCCUCAUUUUCUAAAGAACAAAGCUGUGUAACAGAAACUUGAGCUCUUACGCCUUGUUUAAUAUCUUUCCCAACGUAAAUUCCAUUUUAUUUCAUUUCAGUAUUUUAGUUCACAAAAUAGGCAGUGCAUAAUGCUUUGCACUUUUGUGAUAGGAACU